UGAACGUGCCUUCUGUCCCUCUAGCUGCAGUGCUUGCGUGCACUGCAUGGAUUGCACAGAUCAGGAAAAUCAAGGACAAGUCCCUUUGGAAUCUAAAGUCAUGCACGCAGAGGACAGCACAGAUGAAGUAUCAGCAGCAACAUCUGCCUCUUUCAGUCUCCCCAACACAGACGAAAUAGCAGGGGCAACUCUGCUCUACUCAGUCUCUCCAAAAGCUGAUGGAGCAGCAGUGGCAAUUUCAGCCCUGAUCAAUCACUUCAACAUGGGUGGAGUAGCAGGGGCAACUUCUGCCCUGCUUGAUCUCUCUCACACAGAUGAACUGGAAGUGGAAGUUUAUGCCUCAUUCGAUGACACCUACAUGGAUGGAGCAGCAGCGGCAUCUUCUGCACAAACCAAUCUCUCCAAUAGAGAUGGAGGAGUAGCGGCAACUUCUGCCCUGCUUGAUCUCUCCAACACAGAUGGAGAAGCAGUGGCAACUUCUGCACUGAUCAAUCUCUCCAACACAGAUGGAACAACAACAACAAUUACUGUCCUACUCCAUCUUUCCAACACGGAGUAAUAGGGGCAACUUUUGCCACACGCGAUCUCUCCAACACAGAUGGAGUAGCAGGGACAACUUCUGCCCUGCUCAGUCACUCCAACACAGAUGGAGUAGCAGCAGCAACUUCUACCCUGCUCAAUCUCUCCAACAUGGAUGGAGAAGCAGUGGCAACUUCUGCACCGAUCCACCUCUCAAACAGAGAUGGAGUAGCAGGAGCAAAUCCUGCCCGCUCAAUCUCUCCUACGCAGAUGGACUAGAAGCAGUACUGUGUGCCCCAUUCAAUGACUCUUACAUAGAUGGAGUAGCAGCAGCAGUUUCUGCCCUGUUUCAGUCUCUGCAACACAGAUGGAGAAGCAGUGGCAAUAUCUGCCCCAUGACCAAAACCUUUGAAAGUCACUCAAGCUCAGCAAAUGAUGUGCAGGGAUUUGAGACAACUUGAGCAACCGUCUUCCUGGGUAGAAAACCCCUUCUGUGCCACACUUCUCUUUGUAGAACUGCGUAAUCUUUGCUUCUCAAUAAAGUUCCUCCAUCUCACCA